CGCAUCUGUGCAUGCAGCAUAUCAAUAACGGAGGAAAAGAAACUAACAAGGAUUCCCUUAGUAACGGCGAGUGAAGCGGGAAGAGCUCAAAUUUGAAAUCUUCAAGGUUUUACCUUGACGAAUUGUAGUUUAAAGAAGUGUUUUCUGUUGAAGUUUUGGUAAAAGUUCUUUGGAAUAGGACAUCAUAGAGGAUGAGAAUCCCGUAUUUGACCAUUAUUUUCAGCUGUGUGAUACACUUUCAAAGAGUCGGAUUGUUUGGGAAUGCAGUCCAAGAUGGGUGGUAAAUUUCAUCUAAAGCUAAAUAUUGGCGAGGAGACCGAUAGCGAACAAGUACCGUGAGGGAAAGAUGAAAAGAACUUUGAAAAGAGAGUUAAACAGUACGUGAAAUUGUCAAAAGGGAAGCGUUUGACACCAGUGUUGUUUUCUCGAAAAUCAAUUAAAAAGAGUUGGAUUUUGUUGUGUAUUGACCUUAACAGCUUGCAUUUCACUCUUUUCAUUGCUUUUUUUAAUGCACUUUUCGUUUAACAAGUCAACAUCAGUUUCUUUUGUUGUAAAAGGGUCAUUGGAAGGUGGCUUUCUCUUCGGAGAAAGUGUUUAUAGCCUUUGAUCUCCUGCAAUCGGAGAGACUGAGGUCUGCAGCGUAGAUCCUUCGGGGUUAGAUACAUUUGUGCUAAGUUAUAGCUUUUUCAUAGACAACUUGUUGACUAUGAUUAGUCUUGUAGCUUACUCGCUUAUGCUAUUUUACCUACGCUUAGGAUGUUGACGCGCGUGUGUGCGUG
rnacentral:rRNA from 1 species